CUGCUGACUGUGAGGUACAGGGUCAAAGUUUACUCAAUGAUGAGUCCGUGGCGAACCGUUCGGGACAUCACUACUUAUCAGGUAUCUGAACAUGUAGUUGGAAGCUGCUGAUGUCAUUUAUAGCACAUGCUUUUACUGGUAUGCAAAUGUGCAUAACAGCUACUUAGCAUAAGAACAUUGGUUGCGAUAGUCUGAGGAGUUUAGGUCUCACUAUUUGGAAUUUCCAGCACCUAAAAAAAU